UACGGAGGGUGCGAGCGUUGUCCGGAAUCAUUGGGCGUAAAGCGCGUGUAGGCGGCCCGGUAAGUCCGCUGUGAAAGUCGGGGGCUCAACCCUCGAAAGCCGGUGGAUACUGUCGGGCUCGAGUACGGGAGAGGCGAGUGGAAUUCCUGGUGUAGCGGUGAAAUGCGCAGAUAUCAGGAGGAACACCGAUUGCGAAGGCAGCUCGCUGGAACGUUACUGACGCUGAGACGCGAAAGCGUGGGGAGCAAACAGG
rnacentral:rRNA from 1 species